AUGAAUUCUGCAAGCAAAUGAAUGGAACUUGAGAAUAUCACCCUGAGUGAGGUAGCCCAGUCCCGAAAGGACUUGCAUGUUGAAUGAAAUUCCAUUGAGUACUUGUAUCCCAUUUACAUGUGAGUUGGUCAUGACAUCCUACGCCUAGUUGAAGACUGUUGGUAUGUUAACUUGCUGAUAGAGGGACUCUAAGAGUAGAGCUCAUGGUAUUUGAUAAUCAGAUCAUAACAUUGUCAGCUGCAGAUAGACUGAGAAUAUGAGAAACUUUAUGUGAACAGAUGGGAGAGAUCAAGAAAUGUAGAAGCUACUCUUGGACGAUGUGAGAUACAAUAUUGAAUAUUGACUGCUACUUCAAGCUCAAGAAAUAUGAAA